rnacentral:lncRNA from 1 species
AGAGGGCAGCAGUUGUGGACUGAGAACCAAGUAACUCUUUCCAGAACAAAGGAGACAUGUCUUAAAGUACCUGGAAAGCUGUGAGUAAAGAGGAAAACUGACGCAUGGAGAAGGCUGUUGGACAUAACUAUCCUCAUCAUGGUGAAAAUAUCAUAUUUCCAACCAACCUACAUGCUUCCAUCUUAGAGAAGGGUUGCUGGACGUGUCAUGUCAAUCUAUGGAAAGCCUGUUAUUUUCUGCCAGAAUAGUAAGGGGACUCCUGCAUGGUAAAGUACAACCAAAAAGAAGACCUGGAAAUCUGAAAAUAUGCAGAAUAACAAUCCAGCAAAGAAUGGAUACAUUUCUUGGAGAAUGGGCAGUAGCUGCCAGUAUCUUUGUCUACUUGUUCUGGCCAUUCUCACUUUGGAGUACUCAGGACUCUGGAUCAAGGCUAAAUGGUGGUGGGAAAGGUGGCCUGCUCCAGAAGCAGUGGUGGGAGUCACUGCACCCGAGUACCUGCCUGUGCUGGCUGCUGCUCCACACGCUCCAGGGUAAGUGUAGUUGCCUGUCAGGCUUCUCUGUGCCCUUAGAAGAUGCAGUUUGCAGUGUGCCCAGUGCUGCAGUGCCCUGCUCUGGCACAGCUGGCAGGGGCCCUGCCCUGCCUGACCCAGAGCAGCAGGGCUGGCUCCCACAGCCAGAUGUGGCACAUUGUGGAGACCAAAAUAUCAGCCAAGUCCUUGGUGUCCUUGGUACUCUCCCCAGCACCUUGACCUGUGCUAGCCAGGGAAGCUGUGAUUUGGCCAUGGCUUGGUACUUCAAACUGCAACAAAUUGCUGCCAAUAAUAAUUAAAAAAGGAG